rnacentral:rRNA from 1 species
GGGCCCGCACAAGCGGAGGAACAUGUGGUUUAAUUCGAUGAUACGCGAGGAACCUUACCCGGGUUUGAACGCAUUUGGACCGACCAGGAAACUGGUCUUCUAGCAAUAGCCAUUUGCGAGGUGCUGCAUGGUUGUCGUCAGCUCGUGCCGUGAGGUGUCGGCUUAAGUGCCAUAACGAGCGCAACCCUUACGAUUAGUUACCAUCAGGUCAUGCUGGGGACUCUAAUCGGACUGCCAGCGUAAGCUGUGAGGAAGGUGGGGAUGACGUCAAAUCAGCACGGCCCUUACAUCCGGGGCGACACACGUGUUACAAUGGUGGGGACAGAAGGCUGCGAGCAGGUGACUGUGAGCUAAUCCCAAAACCCCAUCUCAGUUCGGAUCGAAGUCUGCAACCCGACUUCGUGAAGCUGGAUUCGCUAGUAAUCGCGCAUCAGCCAUGGCG